ACAUUUGAGGCUGGUGGUGGACAACUCGUUCACUUUUGAUCAAGUCGUCUUCCAAGAUGGUUGGGUUUGCUGUAGUAAAUCAUAGAGGUUUUCCGAGUUUGGGCGGAAAAAACACUUUGCAAUGUAGCUGACAACAGUGAACGCAUAGAUGUGAUUACCUGGGAAUAUUUCCGGCAGUAAAAUGCCUGGAGUGGUUUAACCUACAAAGUACUAUGCCACGCGGUUGACUGGAACAUCAUGGUGUGGCGUCGUGGGAAUCAGUUCUGAGGUAAGCACAUUGUUUUAACUCUUACAAUCAUAAUCGUGAUGAAUAAUACGGAUAGACAAGCAUAUAACCGAAUAACAUAUGUGGAUUAUUUUGACUGAUACCCAAAGAUCUAUAAUAAAGUGUAAUCUUGCGGCCUAAAGUUCUCAUUGAACCACUUUUUUCCAGGUGCAGGACAUAUCAAAGGAACGCUGUUCGCACGUGGGGCGUCUCCUGUUUGCAUUAGAAGAUUGCCCGGAACCCG